GUUUGGCAUUCAUUCAGAGCCUGGGUUUUUAACUCUGAAUUUUGAUUUGGGCAUUCGCCUGGCGUGAUAUUCUGCCAGGGCCUUCCCAGUCUGUUCUCUGCUGUUUUGCUCCUGAAGAUUUACAGCUAAUGAAGGGAUAAAGAAAGGUCAUGGCGAGAGGCAGCAGCAUGUGGUGGUGACUCACUGGCGGGCCUGGUGUGGAGCCAGCUUGAGUGGAACACUUGCCCGGCUGCUGUGCCUGUUUUCAUGUGGCUCUCGGCCAUGGCCCUGCAGCAAGCAGUUUCUCGACAGUGCCUGGUCAGAGGAAAGGCACGGUCACUCUCUCUUCCCCUGCUGUCAUGGACUCGGGACAAGGAGAUGAAGCCUGUUGUCCAUUUGACAAAGAAUCCAACAGCGUUUUGGUGCAUCUCCUCAGCUGAAGGUCUCCAUAUCUAAAGGAAUCCUCUAAUCAGGUGUAUUUUUAAAUGACCAGUCAGAUCUGCUGGGUCAAAUUACCUUCCCUGCACUGUCAUCCCACACCUAAAAAAAGAACGCUAUGUUUCCUCAGCUUGAGAAAUCAAGGACUUCUUCCUGCCACGAUCUUUGUACACUAGAUGGCUGCUGAAUAAUGGGGUCCUAGACCUGGAGGGGAUCUUUAGGUACCAUCAAGUAGUCCACUGCUGCCUAGCAAGUCUCAUUCAGAUGGUCUGUCCAGAUCAUCCCCAGACAGAUAUGUGUACAGGUCUUGAUCGAACUAAAGAUUUAGGAAAUGGAAUUCAUUUUCUCAUGUACAUAUAUUGCCCUUUGCUGCUAUAUCUGGCUUAGAGGAUGUAACCUGGAUGCUACUGGAUCCUAAGCUCCUGAGCUAGGGUGAACUGUAGAUGACUGGUUCAGAUUCUCCACUCACAUUCUGGAUCCUGACCCUUGGCUCUGUACUGCAAGACCCAUACACAUAUGAUGAAGAAACACAGAUGAAUUGUGGUUAUGAUAUAAACAAUGCCCCAGAAACUGAAAUAGAGUACUUUAUUCCAGUCCUAUUUAUAACUCAGCCUCUAUGAACAGAUACAUGGGAACGGCUGGCAUGUAACUCGAGGCAGCUCCACAUCAAACCCACAUCAGCUGCCUGCCACAGACAUCAGCAAGACUCGUCAGUAUGCUGCUCUUGAGGUUAUGCAAAAUUUACAGAAAUAAAGUGGAAAUUGAAAACCUGCACAUAUAUAAAAGAUGAAUUAAAAAUUUA